GAUGAACGCUGGCGGCGUGCUUAACACAUGCAAGUCGAGCGGUAAGGCCCUUUCGGGGGUACGACGAGCGGCGAACGGGUGAGUAACACGUGGGUGACCUGCCCUCAGCUCUGGGAUAAGCCUGGGAAACCGGGUCUAAUACCGGAUAUGACUCCAUGACGCAUGUUGUGGGGUGGAAAGCCUUGUGCGGCUGAGGAUGGGCCCGCGGCCUAUCAGCUUGUUGGUGGGGUGAGGCCUACCAAGGCGACGACGGGUAGCCGGCCUGAGAGGCGACCGGCCACACUGGGACUGAGACACGGCCCAGACUCCUACGGGAGGCAGCAGUGGGGAAUCUUGCGCAAUGGGCGAAAGCCUGACGCAGCGACG
rnacentral:rRNA from 1 species